rnacentral:rRNA from 1 species
UACGUAGGGGGCGAGCGUUGUCCGGAUUUAUUGGGCGUAAAGAGCUCGUAGGCGGUUCGAUAAGUCGGACGUGAAAUCUCCACGCUCAACGUGGAGGGGCCGUUCGAUACUGUCGUGACUCGAGUCCGGUAGGGGAGUGUGGAAUUCCCGGUGUAGCGGUGAAAUGCGCAGAGAUCGGGAGGAACACCCGUAGCGAAGGCGGCACUCUGGGCCGGUACUGGACGCUG